GAUGAACGCUGGCGGCGUGCCUAAUACAUGCAAGUCGAGCGAAUGGAUUAAGAGCUUGCUCUUAUGAAGUUAGCGGCGGACGGGUGAGUAACACGUGGGUAACCUGCCCAUAAGACUGGGAUAACUCCGGGAAACCGGGGCUAAUACCGGAUAAUAUUUUGAACUGCAUGGUUCAAAAUUGAAAGGCGGCUUCGGCUGUCACUUAUGGAUGGACCCGCGUCGCAUUAGCUAGUUGGUGAGGUAACGGCUCACCAAGGCAACGAUGCGUAGCCGACCUGGUAGGGUGAUCGGCCACACUGGGACUGAGACACGGCCCAGACGCCUACGGGAGGCAGCAGUAGGGAAUCUUCCGCAAUGGACGAAAGUCUGACGGAGCAACGCCGCGUGAGUGAUGAAGGCUUUCGGGUCGUAAAACUCUGUUGUUAGGGAAGAACAAGUGCUAGUUGAAUAAGCUGGCACCUUGACGGUACCUAACCAGAAAGCCACGGCUAACUACGUGCCAGCCGCCGCAGUAA
rnacentral:rRNA from 1 species